rnacentral:rRNA from 1 species
UGUUUGAUGUUCUAACGUUGGCCCGUAAUCCGGGUUGCGGACAGUGUCUGGUGGGUAGUUUGACUGGGGCGGUCUCCUCCUAAAGAGUAACGGAGGAGCACGAAGGUUGGCUAAUCCUGGUCGGACAUCAGGAGGUUAGUGCAAUGGCAUAAGCCAGCUUGACUGCGAGCGUGACGGCGCGAGCAGGUGCGAAAGCAGGUCAUAGUGAUCCGGUGGUUCUGAAUGGAAGGGCCAUCGCUCAACGGAUAAAAGGUACUCCGGGGAUAACAGGCUGAUACCGCCCAAGAGUUCAUAUCGACGGCGGUGUUUGGCACCUCGAUGUCGGCUCAUCACAUCCUGGGGCUGAAGUAGGUCCCAAGGGUAUGGCUGUUCGCCAUUUAAAGUGGUACGCGAGCUGGGUUUAGAACGUCGUGAGACAGUUCGGUCCCUAUCUGCCGUGGGCGCUGGAGAACUGAGGGGGGCUGCUCCUAGUACGAGAGGACCGGAGUGGACGCAUCACUGGUGUUCGGGUUGUCAUGCCAAUGGCACUGCCCGGUAGCUAAAUGCGGAAGAGAUAAGUGCUGAAAGCAUCUAAGCACGAAACUUGCCCCGAGAUGAGUUCUCCCUGAGACUUAGAGUCUCCUGAAGGAACGUUGAAGACGACGACGUUGAUAGGCCGGGUGUGUAAGCGCAGCGAUGCGUUGAGCUAACCGGUACUAAUGAACCGUGAGGCUUAACCUUAC